GAUGAACGCUGGCGGCGUGCUUAACACAUGCAAGUCGAACGAAGCACUUUAUUUGAUUUCCUUCGGGACUGAUUAUUUUGUGACUGAGUGGCGGACGGGUGAGUAACGCGUGGGUAACCUGCCUUGUACAGGGGGAUAACAGUUGGAAACGGCUGCUAAUACCGCAUAAGCGCACGGCAUCGCAUGAUGCAGUGUGAAAAACUCCGGUGGUAUAAGAUGGACCCGCGUUGGAUUAGCUAGUUGGUGAGGUAACGGCCCACCAAGGCGACGAUCCAUAGCCGACCUGAGAGGGUGACCGGCCACAUUGGGACUGAGACACGGCCCAAACUCCUACGGGAGGCAGCAGUGGGGAAUAUUGCACAAUGGGCGAAAGCUUGAUGCAGCGACGCCGCGUGAGCGAAGAAGUAUUUCGGUAUGUAAAGCUCUAUCAGCAGGGAAGAUAAUGACGGUACCUGACGAAGAAGCACCGGCUAAAUACGUG
rnacentral:rRNA from 1 species